GUACACGCUGUGACUAGCAUAUCAAUAAGCGGAGGAAAAGAAACUAACAAGGAUUCCCCUAGUAACGGCGAGUGAAGCGGGAAGAGCUCAAAUUUGAAAUCUUAAAGGGUUUCCCUUUACGAAUUGUAGUUUAAAGAAGUGUUUUCUGUUGAGGUUUUGGUAAAAGUUCUUUGGAAUAGGACAUCAUAGAGGGUGAGAAUCCCGUAUUUGACCUUUACUUUCAACUUUGUGAUACACUUUCAAAGAGUCGGAUUGUUUGGGAAUGCAGUCCAAAAUGGGUGGUAAAUUUCAUCUAAAGCUAAAUAUUGGCGAGAGACCGAUAGCGAACAAGUACCGUGAGGGAAAGAUGAAAAGAACUUUGAAAAGAGAGUUAAACAGUACGUGAAAUUGUCAAAAGGGAAGCGUUUGACACCAGUGUUGUUUUUCUGAAAAUCAAUUAAAGAACUGUUUAUGCUAAGCUGUUUAGACUUUAUCAGCUAACUGUUUAGUUUUGAGCUUUUCUUUAAUGCACUUUUCAGUUAACAAGUCAACAUCAAUUUCUUUUGCUGUAAAAAAGCUUGAGGAAGGUGGCUUGAGAUUCGUCUUAAGUGUUUAUAGCCUCUUGCCUAUGCAGUCGGAGAGAUUGAGGUCUGCAGCGUAGAUCCUUCGGGGCUAAAUGCAUUUGUGCUAAGUUAUAGCAUUUUAUAGACAACUUGUUGACUAUGAUUUGUCUUGUUGCUUACUCGCUUAUGUUAUUUUACCUACGCUUAGGAUGUUGAGUCGUAGAGCACGCAG
rnacentral:rRNA from 1 species